UACGUAGGGGGCGAGCGUUGUCCGGAAUUAUUGGGCGUAAAGAGCGUGUAGGCGGUUCGGUAAGUCUGCCGUGAAAACCUGGGGCUCAACCCCGGGCGUGCGGUGGAUACUGCCGGGCUAGAGGGUGGUAGAGGCGAGUGGAAUUCCCGGUGUAGCGGUGAAAUGCGCAGAUAUCGGGAGGAACAUCAGUGGCGAAGGCGGCCCUCUGGUCCAGUACUGACACUCAAGUGCGAAAGCGUGGGGAGCAAACAGG
rnacentral:rRNA from 1 species